rnacentral:lncRNA from 13 species
ACCAUGGCCAAGCCAGGGAUGUAUUUCCUAUCCAUGAGGAACAUACAGCCUGCCACACUCCACCCUGGUCUGGCCUGUGGAACGCAGUUUGUAUGGGGAUCAGGGUCCUUUAUUUUUGGCUGAAUGAACGUUUCCAGGUGGAGUUUAUUAAGGGGGAAGUGCUAAGCGAUUGUGCUUUAUAAACUGCUACAUAAAGUGUGACAGUGGACAAGAUAUUCGCAUGCUUUUUACAAGUGGCAGCAGUUCUCCUGUCCGGUCUGCUGUCACUGGACCACCCUAUAUGUAGGUUUCCCUCAACAACCCCAUGUCUUGUUGGCUAGCUCUGGGUCUCUUAUUUGGCUUCUCAAACCUGGUGUCAUCCCUAUUGGAGUCAAUAAGGGUCUAGCACAAAAGGGCUAGAAGCAGAGAUCCUCUGUGAUGCUUUACAGAUUUUCUUAUCUCUGUAGCUUCAGGCAGAUGUGGCUGAGAAUCCACGUCAUUUAAAUAUACCAACCACCAGGUCUCUUUUUACUAAGAUUGGAGACAGGUUGAAAAGAAUUUGGCUUCUGAUGACUGGGGUGAGAUAUUUGGACAAACACAGGCAAGGCUGGUGGCUUUGAAUCCCCAGAUAUCUCUGAAUUACUUUCACAGAAAUCUUGAUUGAAUUGUUUUUCCACAGAACAUCACCCUGAUCCAUUACCUUGUGAUGUUAUACUAAUUGGAUCUGAUGAGUGAGCAAAAGCAAGAACCUCAAAUGCCUUAAUAAGUUACGUGUGUUGGAGAGAGAAAAAUAAAGCCAGGAAAGUUUCGGGGCCCUGCUCCAUGGGGAAGUUUCUAUGAGACCAGUGUUCUGGAGCAUAUUGUAAUAUUCCUGCUAAAGAAGAGAGACAUAUUGCCAAACCAUAGGCUUCCCACCUUGAAGAAAGAGAAACAACACCAGCACUCUCUCCACAACACCCUCUGCCCUUCCACUGGCUAACUCCUACAAGAGCCUCUGGUGCCAGCCUUUACACCUUCUGGGGAGCAUUUCCUGACCUUCUCCCCCAACUCAUCCUACCCACAGGACUCAGAGUAACCAGAAAUCCUAACCACACCCAUGAGGAAAGGAGCUCAUUUCCUUCAGUGCUGCAUCUUAAUAGAGAAGCAGGAGCUACGUGAUAUAGACCUUGGAAAGGCCUUCCUUGGCUUGGAAAUCCUUUAUUGUAAGUAGGUUCAGGACUGUUUUAUUUUCUCCCCAUUCUGACAGUGACCAACAUCAAUAAGCAUGACCCAAUGGGACUUUCCUCAGCGCACACCAUUCUUGAUAUAACAAAGCCCUAGCCACAUAAAUAUACCAGUUUUUAAUCUUCC